rnacentral:rRNA from 1 species
UACAGAGGGGGCCAGCGUUAUUCGGAAUUAUUGGGCGUAAAGCGCGUGUAGGUGGCCAAGUAGGUCCGCUGUGAAAACUUGAGGCUCAACCUCAAGCUGUCGGUGGAAACCCCUUGGCUAGAGUCCGGAAGAGGAGAGUGGAAUUCCUGGUGUAGCGGUGAAAUGCGCAGAUAUCAGGAAGAACACCAAUGGCGAAGGCAGCUCUCUGGGACGGUACUGACACUGAGACGCGAAAGCGUGGGGAGCGAACAGG